AUGGCACGGUGUUUUCUGGCUGUGCUCGCCGUGGCCCUGGCGCUCUUGCAGGUUGCCUCAGCCAAGUCCUGGCUUGACAAGAGGUUCAACACCGACGGCACCGUCCGCACGGGAUACGACGCCUCAGGCCAGCAGGUGGUGAUGCUCAACCUCAACCAGCAAUCCGGCGCCGCCGGCUUCAACUCCAAGGAGCAGUUCCUCUACGGUGAGUUCAGCAUCCAGAUGAAGCUCAUCCCCGGAAACUCCGCCGGCACCGUCUCCUGCUUCUACCUUUCUUCCGGUGACGACGAGUGGCGCGACGAGAUCGACAUGGAGUUCAUGGGCAACUCGACGGGCCACCCGGUGGUGCUCAACACGAACGUGUGGGCCAACGGCGACGGCAAGAAGGAGCACCAGUUCGACCUCUGGUUCGACCCGGCCGCCGACUACCACACCUACACCAUCAUAUGGAACCCGGAUAACAUCCUCUUCAAGGUCGACAACCUCUUCAUCCGGUCCUUCAAGCGCUUUGCCGGCCUCCCCUACCCUAGCUCCAAGCCCAUGAGGCUGCACGCCACGCUCUGGGACGGCAGCUACUGGGCAACGGAGAAGGGCAAGAUCCCGAUCAACUGGUCCAACGCGCCCUUCGUCGUCUCCUACCGCAACUUCUACGCCAACGCUUGCGUCAGCGGCGGUGCGUGCCAUACCGGCAGCGGCAGGUGGAUGAACAAGCAGCUCGACGGCGCCGAGUGGGGCACCGUCAAGUGGGCGGAGCGCAGUUACAUGCGCUACAACUACUGCGACGAUGGGUACAGGUUCCCGCAGGGGCUCCCCACCGAGUGCAGCCGCUACUGA
rnacentral:rRNA from 1 species